rnacentral:rRNA from 1 species
CCUACGGGAGGCAGCAGUGGGGAAUCUUGCGCAAUGGGCGAAAGCCUGGCGCAGCGACGCCGCGUGGGGGAAGAAGGCCUUCGGGUUGUAAACCUCUUUCAGCAGGGACGAAGCCACUCGGGUUAAUAGCCCAGAGGGUGACGGUACCUGCAGAAGAAGCCCCGGCUAACUACGUGCCAGCAGCCGCGGUAAUACGUAGGGGGCAAGCGUUGUCCGGAUUUAUUGGGCGUAAAGAGCGUGUAGGCGGCCAGACAAGUCCGUUGUGAAAACUAGAGGCUUAACCUCUAGACGUCGAUGGAAACUGUUUGGCUAGAGUCCGGAAGAGGAGAAUGGAAUUCCUGGUGUAGCGGUGAAAUGCGCAGAUAUCAGGAAGAACACCCGUGGCUAAGGCGGUUCUCUAGUACGGUACUGACGCUGAGACGCGAAAGCGUGGGGAGCGAACAGGAUUAGAUACCCUGGUAGUCCACGCCGUAAACGAUGGGUGCUAGGUGUGGGGGGUGUCGACUCCCUCCGUGCCGAAGCUAACGCAUUAAGCACCCCGCCUGGGGAGUACGGCCGCAAGGCUAAAACUCAAAGGAAUUGACGG